UGAUGGAGGAGUCGUGCUGAAGGCCCUGCCUGGUGGAGGAGCUGGUGGAGGCCCUGCCUGGUGAAGGACGUCUGUCGUGGGGACUCUGGCUGAGGAGAGCUGAUGGAGGAGCCAAAACUCUGGAGGACGACAUCACUCCACCAACCAGGAUCCUUGAAUCUGGAGGACUGAUGGAGAAGCCGUACAUCUGAAAGGCAAAUCCUGAGGACCACCAGGACUCUACCAUCAAGGAUUCCUCAUAUGUUAUCUAUUAUCUGGACAUAUUGGACUAGACACACCUGAGCUGAACCUCACCUGAUCCUGUUUGGUUGGGGGUAGACGCACCUGAGCUAAACCCGCCCUGAUCCUAACAUCCUGCUGGUCCCGUCUCCUCAGUUCAUCUGAGCCUC
ensembl:lncRNA